GACGAACGCUGGCGGCGUGCUUAACACAUGCAAGUCGAACGGAAAGGCCCUGCUUUUGUGGGGUGCUCGAGCGGCGAACGGGUGAGUAACACGUGAGUAACCUGCCCUUGACUUUGGGAUAACUUCAGGAAACUGGGGCUAAUACCGGAUAGGAGCUCCUGCUGCAUGGUGGGGGUUGGAAAGUUUCGGCGGUUGGGGAUGGACUAGCGGCUUAUCAGCUUGUUGGUGGGGUAGUGGCUUACCAAGGCUUUGACGGGUAGCCGGCCUGAGAGGGUGACCGGCCACAAUGGGACUGAGAUACGGCCCAGACUCCUACGGGAGGCAGCAGUGGGGAAUAUUGCAGAAUGGGCGGAAGCCUGAUGCAGCAACGCCGCGUGCGGGAUGACGGCCUUCGGGUUGUAAACCGCUUUCGCCUGUGACGAAGCGUGAGUGACGGUAAUGGGUAAAGAAGCACCGGCUAACUACGUG
rnacentral:rRNA from 1 species